GGGAGGAUGUGGUGCUGGAGUGUGCUGCCACAGCCGACCCUACGCCUUCCGUCACGUGGUAUCUGGGGUACCAGCAGAUAGAUGGGGACGAUUAUCGGUGUCACACAGACUUUGAUGAAGUCAGUGGUAAGGCCACCCUCACCAUCAGCAGUGCCCAAACCACGGACAGUGGUCAAUUUCGCUGUGUCUUCACCAAUCAGCAUGGAGAGGCAGAGACCAAGAACUCCGUCACAGUCAAGAAGAGACCUGAGAAAGCCCCUGUGUUUUCCGUGUGUCUGCAUGAUGAGACCGUGAUAGAGGGACACUCCAUUACCUUGGCCUGCACAGUGGCAGAUGCGGAGACCAUUGGCUGGUACAAGGACGGCUUUGUCCAACGCAACUCCUCAGACUUCAAGCAGAGCUAUGACGGGGGAUGUUGCCCGUCUCGAGAUAGGAGAAAUCUUUCUGGAUGAUGUUGGGGAAUAUGCCUGUGUUGCUCGCAAUGAGUUGGGGGAAGAUCGAACAGCAUGCCAAAUAACUGUCACAGCCUGUGACUCAGAGACAUCCGUCGUUCCCAUGUUCCUCACAAAGUUCACCAAGACUGUCAUCAAGGUAGGGGACAAGCUCAUCCUGGAGUGUGAUGUUAUUGGGUCGCCAGAACCGGACAUCAGCUGGACCAAAAAUGGUCGCCCGCUGCGGGAUGACUGCCCAUAUAACCAAAUGUAUGAUGGACGAACAGCCAAACUGGAAAUAGAGGACGUCACUUCUGAUGAUUCUGGGAGAUAUGAAUGCAUCGCUGGCAAUGAAGCUGGCCGGGUGUCGCUGGAUGCAAGUGUCGCAGUGCAGGUGAAGGACAAGCCUCCAUGUGUGACGGUUCCGCUGUGUGAUGUGUACAGUAAAGCAGGUGAGAGUGCCACCUUAACUUGUCACAUCGUAGGCAUUCCUCAGCCCAGCAUCCAAUGGAGGAAGAAUGGAAUGAUGAUUGGGCACACCAAGGACUUUAAACAGACGUAUGAUGGCAGCUGUGUGACACUGGACAUCUGUGGUGUGUGUCACCAAGACAGUGGGCGGUAUGAGUGUGUUGCCCACAGUAAACUGGGAGAGACUUCAACCACGUGUCUACUGACAGUGAAAGACACAGCAACCGGGAAAGAAUCAGCAUUAUCACCAGCUCCUCCCAUCACAAGAUCUGUAACACCACCACAAACCAUCACUGGUCUAGCCAGGUCUGCUUCUACCUCACAGCGGAGUAGUCAUGGACCUCUGCACCUGUCGUCUCCCACAGGCCCUACAGCUUCACACAAUAUCAGUAGCAGUUCCGUGGGGCAGACAUCUUCCAAGACAUCCACUAAUGUAGUGUCACCCUUGGUCUCGCCUUCAGCAUUGCCAACCCACAUUAUAGGGAAGGCUCUCACAAGGUCAGCUUCCAUGACCAUCAGUACCGUAGUCUCAUCUGCAACCCCUGUCAUGGCUUCUCCAUCAUCUCCAGUGCCAGCAGAUAUUAGUGGGAAUGCUAUCACACUGUCAUCUUCCAAAAUGUCUACAAAUUUAGCCUCUGCUUCUACUACUCUCACAAGAUCAGCUUCCCAGAGAUCUGUCACGGUGAUAUCCUCUUCUCCAGAAUCUUCUCCCUCCAGUCCAUUGUCAUCUCAUGUCCUUGGUAAAGCCAUCACAAGGUCCGCCUCACAGAUCGUUACAUCGUCCUCUCAGAGCAGCUCAUCACCACCACAGAGCAUUAUUGGAAAAGCUCUGGAAACUCUAGCUGCCAAGUCACCUUCACGGCAUCAGAAUGUUAGUAGAUCAAUGUCCUCACCAACCAAUACUCAAGUAGAAACAUCUACAAAGCCACCAACUGGCCCUGUUGAUGACCCUUCACUAAUAAAGAGAAACAUUCCAAGUACUGAAUCCAUCUCUGUUCCUGCAAGGUCCAAUCCUCUCAAUACCAUUGGUAAAUUCCUGGCUAUGUCUGCAGCUAAGGACUUACAGCCAUCAUUCCCUAUCCGGACUACACUAGAUAGUCCCACAGAAGGAGGCCCAGUACCAGUCUCACCAACACAGCCCCAGGAGAAAGGCCCCAUUCAGAAGGCUCCAAGUCCAUCUACUUCACAGACACAGCCACUGUCUAAAGUGCAGCAGCUACGUUUGCAGUUCUUAGGCGAGGCUGGCCAGACCCAAACCAAUAAAGUCAGCAGUGCACCAAUCAGAAGAUGGCAUUCCCUUCCUCCACAAGACCUCAAGCCAGUCAUUGUCAAGAAGGAGAAGGGGUCUGUGACACGAACCAAGCAGCUACACGUCGGCACUGACUCCAGGGAGGCAACCAUGCCAACCUACGAGAACAUCAACGAUGAGGAAGAGCUCAUGAAAAUUAUGAGCAAGACAGAUGACUUUGAUGAACGAAAGAAGAUCCGUGCAAGAUUAAAAGAAGUGCGAGAAAAAGAUAAAUUGGAGCGAGAAGCAAGGCGGCAGCAGAGGGAAAAGGAGUCGGACGACGUUGUGAAGAAGAGGUUCGAGAAGGCAGAAGAAGAUAAGAAGAGGAAGAUGCAACAGUUUUCAGACAUGGCUGCCAAACCAACUUCUGUGACGACAACCAGGACUGGAGGUGAUGGAUCCCAGAUAACCACCACCACCACCACCAGUACAUCCACACAGAAGGUAGACGGAGGAGGCACUCGUACACAGACUGUGAAGAAAACUGAAACAAUGGUAUCAAAAACAUCAGGCAUGGGUGGAGUGCAGUUCUCUAAACCAGGGGCAGCAGAAGCAAUGAGAAAGCUGUCUGACCAGCUUCAGACAGCAAGUCCCCCCGGCACCAGUGGUAGGCUGAUGGUGAAGACAGAAUCGUGGAACAGUGCCGAUGCUGUGGUACAUACGUCCGAGAAGACAGAGUCUUGGGGAGCAAAGCCAGGAGGUUCCCGUGGCGCCAUGGCUGCCUUCAAACAGAUGGAUGCCACAAACAGCCCUGCACAACCGAAUGCUUUAGUUACCGUAUCACUGGCUAAGAAGGCUGCUACCACAAUGAGACGUAACGCUAUUGCCAUCAAACAGGAAGUGCUUGCCUUCUGCAAACACAACACUAAAGAAUACAAGACGAUACAGAUCACCAACUUCUCCAGUUGUUGGAACAAUGGGCUGGCAUUCUGUGCACUCAUCCAUCACUUCUUCCCGGAUGCAUUCGACUUCAAUGCGCUCACACCGAAAAACAGACGCUACAACUUUGAUCUGGCCUUUGACACUGCAGAGAAGAGGGCCGACAUUGCCCCUCUACUGGAUACAGAUGAUAUGGUGCGAAUGAAGAACCCCGACUGGAAGUGUGUGUUUACCUAUGUCCAGAGUAUCUACCGACAUCUGCGUGACCAUGACGCCAACAAGGCCAAGGAGGCAGAGCAGUGAUUGGCUGACUGGCUAACCGCUGCUUGCACAGCAUCAUGCAGUUGUUGUUAUUUUUGUCAUGUAACUUAUUGAGUUUGUAACAUUUAAUCAUGUGGUGGUGAUGCUGCACUGACUGUGUGUGGAGCAGCGACUAGUGCAGGAGUACCUAGUAGAACACAGGUGACACAGUGAUUCCCACCUCCAACACACCUGCUUCCAGGCCAGAAACACACAUCUGUUUCGUCUCUUUCGAACUUGCCACCACAUGGCUUCCCACAGGGAAGUCAUCAUCGUCAAGAGAUAAGUGUUUAUUGUGAAACUCUCCAACACAUGUAUGGUAAAACGGUUAGUGAAGACGUUGGAGUCUCGUCACUGUGUAUCACAUCACCUGUUGAGGAGCGUAAGAAGUAUGUAUUACAAUAGAUAGCAUUUCUAUAGCAAACACAAAACCAAUGUCUUCCAGGUUUCUACACUAUAUUGGGUGAUAUGUUUACUGUAAUGUGAUAUUAGAAUGGUGCCUUUUAUGUGAUACAAGUAGCUACUGUAGAUGACAAAUACGUCCAUAUUAUGGUUUGGGCUGAUCAGCAUCUAUACGAGCUGUGUGGAGCUCAGCAUGUGUUAUCUGUCUCUGCUGGGAGGAUAGUGAAGGACUGUGUGGAGGGUGACAACAUGGCGCCAUGGCUCAGACAGAUGGGCUCUCAUAGCAUGUUGCAGUCAUGGAAUGUUUCUUGCUUCACCCUGCAGCCAAAUAACAUCCACACAUCAGUCUUACAGUCACCCCUUACACCAACUGUCACACCUGCAGGUGACAGAUCCACAGUCACACCUGCAUGUCAUCAGGGGACUGUUACACCUGCAGAUGGAUCCACAGUCACACCUGCAUGUCACCACGGGACUGUUACACCUGCAGGUGACAGAUCCACAGUCACACCUGCAUGUCACCACGGGACUGUUACACCUGCAGGUGACAGAUCCACAGUCACACCUGCAUGUGACCAGGCCACUGUAACACCUGUGAUUGAUGAUGAUAUGAAUGUAGGUAUUCAACUUGGAAGUGGACUGGUUCUGUAAGUUGUGAAGUUGAUUGCUACCACCUCCAAGUAAUGUUUUUAGUCCAAAUUCAAACAUGUGAAGGACUUGAUAGUUGAGAGUGCAUAAUAUAAACUACUGUACAUGCAUAUGUGGAUAGGACGUAGUGUUGGUGCUUGCUAGGGUUUUAGGGAUAUUGUAUUUGUAGAAGAAGGUAGACUUGCAUUAUCUAUGUAUCCGGUGUACUAGUGUAGGUAGUGCUGACAUCUGGUGGCCAACCAUGCUCCUAGUGUUCUGUAGCUAUCCUCCUACACACUGUGGGGGAAGAUAUUCUUACAAGUUAACAGUGCAAUGUAAUCCCAUUAUGUGAGAUAAUUGGCAUUUCAAUUCACAAUACUCAGCAACUUGACGGCAGGCCCCUUGGGGACAGUGAAAAACAGUACUGGUAGGUAACAUAUGUUGACAUUGUGCCCUAGAUCAUCGGAUUGGUUUCUGCAUCUUAUUUGGCCUAUUGCAGUGCUUUGAGCUUUGUUUUCUUCAUGACUGGCUUCAUACAGGGUCUUCUUUACAUCUGUUCCUAAAACAUGUCUUUUGGACUUUUUAAGUUCAAUGUUAGUAUAAUCCAGUCUGUGGUAAGAUUAUAUUAAAUGGUUUUUGGUAUUAUUUCUCGACAUCACAUAAUGCAAGAUGGCAUCUAUUAAAUAUUUUUCUAUGUACAUCUCAUGAAACAAAUCAAAGACAAAGAACUUUGUGCAGGGUUUAUGAUUGAAUUUGUUUUUGACAAUACAGCAAUUACUCACUUAAAGCUAUAAAAGCUUUAAAGGUCUUUGUCUUUAUGUUAGGCAAGGGUUCCACUGUCCCGGCAACUGUGUGCAAGUCUGUGUUACUGUGUCUGUCUAGUAUUGAUUGCUCUUGUUUUUAUGAAAUAACAUGUUUUAUUUCCAUUUUGUAGAUAUUCAAUGAUAUCAUAACUUGUACAGUCAACUGUUUUGUAGUGAACUAUUUCCAGUGCUAUUCAAUAUAACUCCUUUUUCAUGUUUUGUUUUGCAUACCAACAUUAAAGUUUGUAGUUGUGUUCUCAGGGUGCCGCAAUAUGUAGUGAUUAACGUGAUGUCACACUCUCCAACAACCUCAAGCAACAAUCACGUACAGGUUGCUGCCAAACACAAACUAGAUUUCUUGUAUUCAUGUAUUUUUCUCCUUUUAUUAUCCAUGUAGCCUGAUAUUUGUUCUUACAACCCUGCAUUGUAAAGAGUCUCUACUGUAAGUGCUGGCACUGUCUGUUCUUGAUCAAUGGUAACAUGUUUGUAAAUCCGUGCCAAAUUUGAAAACAAUAUUUACCACUGUACUUAAAAAUAUCCAUUGCUGCCAACUGCCAGUUGAAGGAAACGUUUGUAUAGUAUGGUUAGAUUUGUGUAGACAGCAGGAGACUGGGGCAGCUGGGGUGGGGCAACACUUGACAUUAGGAGGGAGGGCUUCAUGAGAUGCUAACGCAGCAAAACUGUGUCCUUUCUGUUGUUGUGUGCAUUUACUGUAUAACUUAACAAGUACACAUCCUGUGCGUAUGUUUCUGUAUCUGUUAAUGAAUAAAAAUAUAAUUAUAUCUG
rnacentral:misc_RNA from 1 species